UGUCAAGAUGACAUUGUUAUAAUUUGUUUUUGCUUUUUGUUUUGAUCUCAUAUUUUCCCACGCAAGAAUUCUGUCAAUCUGUAACUGUACAUAAUUAAACCACUGUUUUAAAAGUUUCAAUUACAUUAAAAAUACAUUUUUGGUCUAAGAAAUAAACAGAAGGUUAGGCACAUGGUGUUUUUUAAUUGCGAAACGAAAAAUUUAGUGGCACCUGUAGUUGUUUUAAAAUGGGCAGCAUAAAUAAAAACAACAAACCCACAACUUCUUGGUCCUUCACUGACAAGGAAAGAAAAACAUCCGGUGAUUUGUUCUACUUCAACUACACUCAUCCAAAGACAUGACAAAAUUGUACCAACCUGAAGAAUUCUGAUUGAACUUGAAAAGGUGUCAGCCCUGGAUAGGCUAAGUCUGUAAGGAUUGCUGGAGAGUCUCAUGUGUUCAGUCUGUGUACUAAAGAAAUGCCACUAUAGGCAAAUAAUCUCUUGACAUGGCCAAUAUAUGUGGUCAUCGAUACUUAGGUUGCAACUUAGAUAUAUUUGAUGUGAUUGUUAUAUGAUUACUAACAUAAUUUGUUUAUUAGUAAAUAAUUAGAAAUAAAUAAUAUUUCUUUUUAUUAUUUUCCUCUUUAAAAUAAUCAAACAAUUCAAUGUACAUCAAAUACUCCACUUCCAACAGAGACUCUGUAGCGAUAAAAGUUUGAGAACUGCUGGUCAAAAGGAUAUACAAAAGAUUAACUCCAAAAAUUAGAGAUGUCUGGUAAAGAUGUAAGAAAGAGUAGUACAUAUUUUGUCGACCGGAAUUUCGGAAACGUAUAAAAUGUGACGAGAAAAGACUUAUUUAAAGAUGUACAUAAAUCCUAUAUCAAUUUUACGUUUUUCCUUAUCAAGUGGAAGUUUUUCAUUCUGCCCAAAGUAUUAUUGUAAACCCGUUGACAGCGUUCAUCAAUCGUCAGCACAUCGGUGAUCCACUCGCGGUUCACGAGUUCAUUAGCGGCGAGAUGGUGCGACCGCACGGCGCGUCGGCCAUUAUGGGACAUCGAUAGCGCCAAAGUCGGAUAUAAAGAGACGCCUGUAGUGCCCAAUAAGAUAUGUUUGAAAGAUUUCCCCCGACAUUAAAAAGGGGUGUCCUUAAAAAUCUCCCCCAGGGCGCUGGAAAUACUAAAGCCGGCCCUGAUCGAGUACACUCCUCGCUGUCUCCAAGGCCUACCGUACCUACUGGUGUGGUUGAAAAUAAUUUUAAAUGUCCGAAAUUUAAUAGCAAAAGUUAAAUGUCAGGUCAGUCACAGCAGGCAAUUAAGGCACGAAUCAAAUAUUGAUUUGUAAACAAUCAAAAGACAAAAGCCCUUCACAAACAAAGGGCUAAUGCCAAUUAAACCGUGCCGAGGCAGUCCGCUUACACCGACUGGCUGCCUCUCCUAACAGCGUGUUAAUCGAGUUACCGAUGUUGCCCGGGAUCUAUUAUUGGACUGGAAUAUCGAGACACUCGCAAUUCCCAUCCCUAUUGGUCAUGUUCACACGAUUGUAUAUAAAAUAA